rnacentral:rRNA from 1 species
GAUGAACGCUAGCGGCAGGCCUAAUACAUGCAAGUCGAACGGUAAGGCCCUUUCGGGGGUACACGAGUGGCGGACGGGUGCGUAACGCGUAUGCAACAUGCCUUUCAGCGGGGGAUAUACCAGGGAAACUUGGCGCAAUACCCCAUAGAAUUGCGGGACCGCAUGGUCUUGUGAUUAAAACUCCGGUGCUGGGAGAUUGGCAUGCGUGACAUUAGCUAGUUGGGCGGGGUAACGGCCCACCAAGGCGACGAUGUCUAGCUGGUCUGAGAGGAUGAUCAGCCACACUGGGACUGAGACACGGCCCAGACUCCUACGGGAGGCAGCAGUAGGGAAUAUUGGACAAGUGGGGGGAACCUGAUCCAGCCAUGCCGCGUGAGGGAAGAAGGUCCUCUGGAUU